AGAAGUCUUGGUCAUCUUUACAUUGAUUAUUUCUCUCUUUUAUCGAAUUAUAAUUUCCUCUUCUUCUAUGGAAUCAAUACCUUCUCCACCCACCUACAAGGUGGAGGCUUCUUUCCUUCUCCCAUCAUCUCAUUCUGUUAUUUCUAUCUCGAACAUUAAGAAUCUAGUUCUCACGUUCUUGAUUAUACAAAUUAUAUGUUAUGGAGAGAGCUUUUCUUGCUUGUUUUCAAGGGUCAUAGUGUCUAUGGCUUCAUUGAUGUAAGUAUCCCUUAUGCCGAGCCUUCUAUUUCUCGUGAUAAUGGCACCUUUGUAUUCAAUCCUACAUUCAAACAAUGGGGUCAACUGGACUCUAUUGUUCUCUCAUGGAUUCGGGCAAUAAUUUCUCAAGAGAUUCUCUAGGCUAUAAUCAAGCGACACCAUACUCUCACCGGUAGGGAUCCUUGGCUUCAAAAUAGAGCAUCUAUUUUGUGACACCGAACUCUUCAACUCAAGGUCCAGUUUAACAAUCUUAAGAAAGGUGAUCUUUCAAUAAAUGAAUAUGUUCAUCAUCCCAAGUUCAUUGCUGAUGGAUUAUAAUAAGCAGCGGAAGCAAUUCCGGUGUUAAAAUCACAUGUAAUCUAGACAACUAGCAUAAACGAGAUUUCACGGGUUACCUCUUGAAGCAAUUAUAGUAUUCCACUUUUCUAAGUCUAAUAAUGUUGGUGAAGCUUUGUCUAUGUAAAAACUCUCUACAUUAUUACUGAUGGAUUAUAAUAACCAGCGGAAGCAAUCCCAGUAUCAAAAUCACAUGUAAUCUAGACAACUAGUACAAACGAGAUUUCACGGGUUACCUCUUAAAGCGUGAACAUAUCUCUUCUACCAUGUGAGCCUUCUAUUCCAUAACUUCUCAAUGGAAUCUCCAUCACCCGCACAAUCGUGAUUCUCGAACGUUUCACGGUCUUCUAUUGUGUUACCCAAAUAAUAACAGGAAAUAGCAAUUUCGUGUGGGCAAAAUUUCUAGGAAAACUUGGCUGCAAAUUUUAGCCACCAUGUCUUUUCUUUUCUAGGUGGAAAACCUUAUGUAUUUAUGCACAUGUUUGAAGGGUUACCCUUUUCAAAAAACAUGUUGAGUUUUCAUUUUCACCAGAAAAAGAAUUCUUUAUUUCCUAUUAUUUAGGCACAGUAGAGACCACAGAAUUUAACAAG
rnacentral:lncRNA from 1 species